rnacentral:rRNA from 1 species
UACAGAGGUCUCAAGCGUUGUUCGGAUUCAUUGGGCGUAAAGGGUGCGUAGGUGGCGGGGUAAGUCAGGUGUGAAAUUUCGGAGCUUAACUCCGAAACUGCAUUUGAUACUGCCUUGCUUGAGGACUGGAGAGGAGACUGGAAUUUACGGUGUAGCAGUGAAAUGCGUAGAUAUCGUAAGGAAGACCAGUGGCGAAGGCGGGUCUCUGGACAGUUCCUGACACUGAGGCACGAAGGCUAGGGGAGCAAACAGG